rnacentral:rRNA from 1 species
UCUAGAGGCUUCGUCAAUGCCCGAAAGGGUGAACGAGCGACGCCGCGUGCGGGAUGAAGGGCUUCGGCUUGUAAACCGCUUUUGUUUGGGAAGAAUGCCCGGAUCGUGAAUCCGGGAGGGACGGUACCAGACGAAUAAGCCCCGGCUAACUCCGUGCCAGCAGCCGCGGUAAGACGGAGGGGGCAAGCGUUGUUCGGAAUUAUUGGGCGUAAAGGGCGCGUAGGCGGAUUGGUAAGUCUGGCGUGAAAUCUCCACCACUUAACGGGGAGAGGUCGCUGGAAACUGCCGAUCUGGAGUUCGGUAGAGGAUCAUGGAAUUCCAGGUGUAGCGGUGGAAUGCGUAGAUAUCUGGAAGAACACCAAUGGCGAAGGCAGUCACUUGGUCCAUUACUGACGCUAAAGCACGAAAUCGUGGGUAGCAAACA